rnacentral:lncRNA from 1 species
GCCUCCGGCUCCUCAUCGGAUCUCUCCUCUUCGCUCUGGGCCUCCGGCGUGGGAGGCCGGCGGGGCAGGAUCUCGGCUUGCAGCUCCAGAGUACCGUGGGCAGCCAGCAGUUCAUAGAGCCGCUGGAUUUCGGAGGGCGGGGGCAUCCAGGGCUGCCCAUCCGCAGGCAGCUCCACCUCCUCGUCGCUGCAGGGCACGCACCAGUCCUCGGAGUCCUCCUCGGCAGGCUCUUCUCCCCCAGCGCUGGGGACUUCUCCCUGCGCCUCCUCGCCCCCGGACCCCUCACGCUCGGUCUCCUCUCGGCCUCCUUCCCCCUCGUCCUCGGCCUUACCGGCCGAGGCAGAGGGGCCUCCGGUAUCCUCCACGGCCAGAGCCUGGAGGCCGGAGGUCACUUCCCCUUCUUCAGACAGAGGCGCCGCCGUACUGGCCGCAGUGUCUCCAUGGCCCCGAGCAAGGGACAUAGGCCACUAGGGCAGGGACCCUGCGACGACAGAUACUGGAGUCCGAAGCCAGGGUCCCCCAGGGAUCGGGCUCCCCUGGGGGUUCGGGACCGUUUCCAGCCAAUCACGCUCCCGCAGGGGACUCCGCGGCCAGACCGCCCGUCCCCGGGAGGGGGCGCUCAGUCCCCACCAAGGACCCCGCCCCGGAGAUCGAGGUUCGGUACUCCGAGGCUCCCGGGCCCCGCAGAAACCACUUUCCGAAAGAGGGAAAGGGGGAGGAGAGGGACGGGCCACUCUUCUCGCUUCCACGACGCCCCUCUCCACACCCGGACACGGCGCCUUCUCCCCAGACCUUUCAGUUGUGGGCCACGUCAAGUCAGAUGCCGUACGCACCUGGAGCUAAGACCCGCCUCCCAGGCUGCGCAGGGUCACGCUACGCAGGCGCACAGAAAUGGCGCGGGAGGCUCCGCUCUAGGCAAGGCUACUUGGAAGAGGAAAGCGAGGGAAGGCUUGCACAUGCGCGAGUAAGCGCACAGGCUUCAGCCCACAGUAAAGAUGGCCACCGGGAAGUCGCAUGCGUAUACCACCCAGUAAGGUUCUGCCAGAAAGGCAGCACCGCCGGGCCGGCGGGACGAACGCAGGAACCAACCGAGAUUGGAGGCGAGUCUCAUGCAGUCUCCGUUUAUUGGUGUUUCAGACUCCGCCUAAGUUGAUGACGCAGGAGGCGAUGAUGAUG